CGAGGGGGGCAAGUGUUGUUCGGAAUCACUGGGCGUAAAGGGAGCGUAGGCGGAUGUUUAAGUCGGGUGUUUAAAACCGGGGCCCAACCCCGGAGCGGCACCCGAAACUGGGCAUCUUGAAUAGGUCAGAGGCUGGUGGAAUUGGAGGUGUAGCGGUGGAAUGCGUAGAGAUCUCCAAGAACACCUAUUGCGAAGGCAGCCAGCUGGGACCAUAUUGACGCUGAGGCUCGAAAGCAUGGGGAGCAAACAGGAUUAGAUACCCUGGUAGUCCAUGCCGUAAACGAUGAACACUAGGUUUUGGGCUCGUCAACGGUCCAGAGCCGCAGCUAACGCGUUAAGUGUUCCGCCUGGGGAAUACGGUCGCAAGACUG
rnacentral:rRNA from 1 species